GACAGAAGGUGCAAGCGUUACUCGGAAUUACUGGGCGUAAAGCGUCUGUAGGUGUCUCGCCACGUUUGGUGUUAAAUUUCGGGGCUCAACCCCGAACUUAUACCGGAUACGAGCGAGAUCGAGUCACUCAGAGGCAUCUGGAAUGUCGUGUGUAGGGGUAAAAUCCGUAGAUACACGAUGGAACGCCAAAAGCGAAGGCAGGAUGCUAGGGGUGUACUGACACUCAGAGACGAAAGCGUGGGGAGCAAAGGGG
rnacentral:rRNA from 1 species